CUCAAGGCAUUAUUGAGUCCACCAAUGAGAAGAAAGUCCCAUACCAAUUGGCUUUGGCACUAGGAUACACCAUGAUACCUCUCUCUCUCUCUCUCUCUCUCUCUCUCUCUCUCUCUCUCUCUCUCUCUCUCUCUCUCUCUCUCUCUCUCUCUGGUGAAGCAAUCAGAGUUAAGUGACUUGCCCAGGAUCACACAGCUAGUAAGUAUCAAGUGUUUAAGGCCUCAUUUCAACUCAGGUCCUCCUGAUUCCAAGGCCGGAGCUCUAUCCACUGUGCCACCUAGCUGCCUCCCACGAUAUCUCUUAUAGUUCUCAACAUCAUUCAUUCAGGUUGCAAACAGAGAUUCUGAAAAAUGAGACAUUUCCAGCCCUGGUGGUCAUCUUACGAGUUGGAGAAGCUGGGUCAGCUGUUCAGUGGGAGGCCUAUUUCAAGUUUACAUUCCCCUCAACCUCAGUGAGAGGAGAAGGACAUGGUGAUUUUUCUGCUUCCCGAAUGACUAUCACCCUUCACCUUGUGUUUCCUCAUCUGUAAACCGAGCUGGAGAAGAAAAUGGCAAACCACUCCAGUAUCUUUGCUAAGAAAACUCCAAAUGGGGUCACAAAGAGUUGGACACAACUGAAAAUGGCUGAACAACAAGAAGAGUUAGAAGACUUGGAAAAUUGAAGGUCAAUCAGAAAUGAAGAGAAUAAUAGUAUUUGGAGCUGGACAUUGUCAUGUCCGAAUCAUUCAUUAAAAAAAAAUGUUAAAAUUGACU
rnacentral:lncRNA from 1 species